CCGCCUGCCCAGUGACCCUGUUUAACGGCCGCAGUACUCUAACCGCGCAAAGGUAGCAUAAUCAUUUGUCUUUUAAAUGAAGACUCGUAUCAACGGCAUCACGAGGGUUCCGCUGUCUCCUUUUUCUAAUCAGUGAAACUAAUCUACCCGUGAAGAAGCGGGUAUAAUACUACAAGACGAGAAGACCCCAUGGAGCUUUAAACCUAGCUGCACCCCCC
rnacentral:rRNA from 1 species